GCAUCGAUGGCUGAUUGGUUAAACUUAAGGCGUCCGUCAGACUUGAAAUCUGAUGGGCAAUGCCCGCGCAGGUUCGAACCCUGCUCGAUGCG